AGCUUUGCGCAGUGGCAGUAUCGUAGCCAAUGAGGUUUAUCCGAGGCGCGAUUAUUGCUAAUUGAAAACUUUUCCCAAUACCCCGCCAUGACGACUUGAAAUAUAGUCGGCAUUGGGCCCAUUAUCUUUUCUAAAAAA
rnacentral:snRNA from 1 species